CCGUCGGGGGCCCCUCAAUGUACCCCCGCCGCCUCCAGAUCCCUCGGAGGACACCGAUCCCGUCCUAGAUCAGGAGGACACCCCGAUAUGAACUUGAGACUCUGGGCAGUUCCGUUCGGCGCUAAAUGGACGAUGAGAAUGCGAAUGGAAGUCGUGAUACACGUGUGCGGACAACGUCGCGUGAAACUGUUAAUUACAAAAGAAAAUUUCACCGCGAGUUUCACGGAGGUCUCUCAAAAUCGAGUUGACAAUGAUUCCGAUUGUUUAGUGCAAGCUGCGUGAUGUGAUCGGGAAGGCGAAGGGCCGUGUAAAUGCCAAGCGCAAAUGAAAUAUAUUGCGGUGCGAGCGAUGGCUAUUCAAUUUGCAUAUCAAAUAUGAAGAAUAUGUAUCAGCUACUAAAUAUAGAGCGUCCACUAUCGUA